rnacentral:lncRNA from 1 species
GCUAAGCUCCCCUUAGCCGUCUCAUGGAGCUGCAGGCCGUCAAAUCAAAGGCACUCCUUCCAUAUAAAGUUUUUUUAUUUGACAAAAAUGAAAACUUGUCAGUUUGCCACUUUCACAAGGUUGGAUUAAUAACAUGUUCAACUACACUCCAACCUCAUGCUGUCAGGUGAGACACAUGAAGCUCAGACUAUUUUAGUAAAUAUCUUCUUGAAGCGGCUGUGAAGUGGAAGAAUACUUUCAGCAGCUACUGGGGGCUGUGCUUUGGAAAGGUGGGUGUGGUUAUAUCCUGCCUGGUUUACCCUGUCCGUGGGUAACUUUGGAAGGGGCAACAGUGGCCACUGACCCACAACUCCCCCCAUCUGUCUCCAUUAUCUAUGCUGCAAUAGUCUGUGUUGUCGGGCUAAGGUCAGUCUGUCAUAUCUGUUGUAAUUCUCCUGUCUUAUAUGGUAUCCUGUGUGAUCUUAGGUAAGCUCCCUUUAAUUCUCCCAUCUCUCUCUCUCUUUCUUCUCUCUCUCUCUCUCCCCUUCCGGAGGACCUGAGCCCUAGGACCAUGCCUCAGGAUUACUUGGCCUGACAACUCCUGGCUGUCCCUGUCUCCAGUCCACCUGGUCGUGCUGCUGAUCCAGUUUCUGCUGUUCUGCCUGCGGCAAAAUGGAACCCUGACCUGUUCACCAGUCAUACAUUUACUCCUGAGGUGCUGACCUUUUGCACCAUCUAUAACCACUGUUGUUGUUAUUAGACCCUGCUGGUUAUCUAUGAACGUUUGAACAUCUUGAAGAACGUUCUGGCCUAUUCUUAUCAUCUCCACCCGGCACAGACAGAAGAAGACUGGCCACCCCUCAGAGCCUGGUUCCUUUCUAGGUUUCUUCCUAGGUUCCAGCCUUUCUAGGGAGUUUUUCCUAGCCACUGUGCUUCUAUGUCUGCAUUGCCCAAAACUGAUGUCUCUCAAACACAGUAUUCCGCUGUGGUGCGCAGUAGUUUUCAAACGCUUUCAUCGCCUCUGCCAGUUUCUUGUUUUCCGGAUCGGCAUAUGAAAUCUCUAUCAUGUUGUAGAUCUCCAGCGCGUCCUUGCCAAUGCAGUGUAGCAAAACUGCUAUUUUCCUAUGUUCCGACUUGUAAUUUAGCCCACUGACUAAGUAGUACAGGUUCAGUCUUUGUCCCAUUUCUGCCAAUUUUCUGAACGGUUUCCAUUCAAUAACAACGGUGAUGGUGGUGUAAAUGACUGCACUGCUGCUAAUCCCAAACUCGAUAGCUGUCACGUCCUGACCAGCAGAUGGAGCUAGUGUUUUAGUUUUGGGGUCAGGACGUGGCAUGUUUGUAUUGGUUAAAUGUUGGGUGGAUGAUUGGGACUUCCAAUUGAAGGCAGGUGUGUAUAGUUGCCUUUGAUUGGAAGUCCUAUAUAGGUGUGUGUGUUUUUCUUUGGGGUUGUGGGUGGUUGUUUUUUGCACUGCGUUUCUAGCCUGCAGAACUGUAGCUGUUGUUACUUUGUUUGAAUUGUUAAGUGGAUGCUUUACUCCUUUAUUUUAAUUAAAGAUGAGUAUUCACGUACCUGCUGCGCCUUGGUCCAUUUCUACAGAAGACAACCGUUACAGAACCACCCACCAAAGGACCAAGCAGCAGAAGAGGAGGAAGCCACAUGAGAGAAAAAAGGGAACAAUGGACAUGGGAGGACGUCCUGGACGGCAAGGGAGCCUACACCUGGGAAGAGAUCCUGGCCGGAAGGGAUCGCCUCCCAUGGGAACAGGUGGAGGCACUCAGGAGAGUGGAGGCAGCUGGACAGAGGAACCAUCGGGAACGUUACGCUGGAACACGGUUGGCUAGGAAACCCGAGAGGCAGCCCCAAGA